GACGAACCGUGCGAACGUUGUUCGGAAUCACUGGGCUUAAAGGGUGCGUAGGCGGGCCGAAAAGUCAGGGGUGAAAUCCUCCAGCUUAACUGGAGAACUGCCUUUGAUACUGGCGGUCUGGAGUAAGGUAGGGGCAUGCGGAACUGAUGGUGGAGCGGUGAAAUGUGUUGAUAUCAUCAGGAACUCCGGUGGCGAAAGCGGCGUGCUGGACCUGUACUGACGCUCAUGCACGAAAGCGUGGGGAGCAAACAGG
rnacentral:rRNA from 1 species